GCAUAUCAAUAAGCGGAGGAAAAGAAACCAACAGGGAUUGCCCCAGUAACGGCGAGUGAAGCGGCAAGAGCUCAAAUUUGAAAGCUGGCUCCUUCGGGGUCCGCAUUGUAAUUUGCAGAGGAUGCUUCGGGAGCGGUCCCCAUCUAAGUGCCCUGGAACGGGACGUCAUAGAGGGUGAGAAUCCCGUAUGGGAUGGGGUGUCCGCGCCCGUGUGAAGCUCCUUCGACGAGUCGAGUUGUUUGGGAAUGCAGCUCUAAAUGGGUGGUAAAUUUCAUCUAAAGCUAAAUAUUGGCCGGAGACCGAUAGCGCACAAGUAGAGUGAUCGAAAGAUGAAAAGCACUUUGAAAAGAGAGUUAAAAAGCACGUGAAAUUGUUGAAAGGGAAGCGCUUGCGACCAGACUCGCUCGCGGGGUUCAGCCGGCAUUCGUGCCGGUGUAUUUCCCCGCGGGCGGGCCAGCGUCGGUUUGGGCGGUCGGUCAAAGGCCCUCGGAAGGUAACGCCCCUAGGGGCGUCUUAUAGCCGAGGGUGCAAUGCGACCUGCCUAGACCGAGGAACGCGCUUCGGCUCGGACGCUGGCAUAAUGGUCGUAAGCGACCCGUCUUGAAACACGGACCAAGGAGUCUAACAUCUACGCGAGUGUUCGGGUGUCAAACCCGUGCGCGAAGUGAAAGCGAACGGAGGUGGGAACCCUUACGGGUGCACCAUCGACCGAUCCUGAAGUCUUCGGAUGGAUUUGAGUAAGAGCGUAGCUGUUGGGACCCGAAAGAUGGUGAACUAUGCCUGAAUAGGGCGAAGCCAGAGGAAACUCUGGUGGAGGCUCGUAGCGGUUCUGACGUGCAAAUCGAUCGUCGAAUUUGGGUAUAGGGGGCGAAAGACUAAUCGAACCAUCUGGUAGCUGGUUUCCUGCCGAAG
rnacentral:rRNA from 1 species